UACGUAGGGACCAAGCGUUGUUCGGAUUUACUGGGCGUAAAGGGCGCGUAGGCGGCCAUUCAAGUCAGUUGUGAAAUCUCCGAGCUUAACUCGGAACGGUCAACUGAUACUGCUUUGCUAGAGUACAGAAGGGGUAAUCGGAAUUCUUGGUGUAGCGGUGAAAUGCGUAGAUAUCAAGAGGAACACCUGAGGUGAAGACGGGUUGCUGGGCUGAUACUGACGCUGAGGAGCGAAAGCGUGGGGAGCGAACAGG
rnacentral:rRNA from 1 species